CAUAGGUUAAUGAGGCGAACCGGGGGAACUGAAACAUCUAAGUACCCCGAGGAAAAGAAAUCAACCGAGAUUCCCCCAGUAGCGGCGAGCGAACGGGGAGGAGCCCAGAGCCUGAAUCAGUGUGUGUGUUAGUGGAAGCGUCUGGAAAGGCGCGCGAUACAGGGUGACAGCCCCGUACACAAAAAUGCACAUAUUGUGAGCUCGAUGAGUAGGGCGGGACACGUGGUAUCCUGUCUGAAUAUGGGGGGACCAUCCUCCAAGGCUAAAUACUCCUGACUGACCGAUAGUGAACCAGUACCGUGAGGGAAAGGCGAAAAGAACCCCGGCGAGGGGAGUGAAAAAGAACCUGAAACCGUGUACGUACAAGCAGUGGGAGCCUCUUUAUGGGGUGACUGCGUACCUUUUGUAUAAUGGGUCAGCGACUUAUAUUCUGUAGCAAGGUUAACCGAAUAGGGGAGCCGAAGGGAAACCGAGUCUUAACUGGGCGUUAAGUUGCAGGGUAUAGACCCGAAACCCGGUGAUCUAGCCAUGGGCAGGUUGAAGGUUGGGUAACACUAACUGGAGGACCGAACCGACUAAUGUUGAAAAAUUAGCGGAUGACUUGUGGCUGGGGGUGAAAGGCCAAUCAAACCGGGAGAUAGCUGGUUCUCCCCGAAAGCUAUUUAGGUAGCGCCUCGUGAAUUCAUCUCCGGGGGUAGAGCACUGUUUCGGCAAGGGGGUCAUCCCGACUUACCAACCCGAUGCAAACUGCGAAUACCGGAGAAUGUUAUCACGGGAGACACACGGCGGGUGCUAACGUCCGUCGUGAAGAGGGAAACAACCCAGACCGCCAGCUAAGGUCCCAAAGUCAUGGUUAAGUGGGAAACGAUGUGGGAAGGCCCAGACAGCCAGGAUGUUGGCUUAGAAGCAGCCAUCAUUUAAAGAAAGCGUAAUAGCUCACUGGUCGAGUCGGCCUGCGCGGAAGAUGUAACGGGGCUAAACCAUGCACCGAAGCUGCGGCAGCGACACUAUGUGUUGUUGGGUAGGGGAGCGUUCUGUAAGCCUGUGAAGGUGGCCUGUGAGGGUUGCUGGAGGUAUCAGAAGUGCGAAUGCUGACAUAAGUAACGAUAAAGCGGGUGAAAAGCCCGCUCGCCGGAAGACCAAGGGUUCCUGUCCAACGUUAAUCGGGGCAGGGUGAGUCGACCCCUAAGGCGAGGCCGAAAGGCGUAGUCGAUGGGAAACAGGUUAAUAUUCCUGUACUUGGUGUUACUGCGAAGGGGGGACGGAGAAGGCUAUGUUGGCCGGGCGACGGUUGUCCCGGUUUAAGCGUGUAGGCUGGUUUUCCAGGCAAAUCCGGAAAACCAAGGCUGAGGCGUGAUGACGAGGCACUACGGUGCUGAAGCGACAAAUGCCCUGCUUCCAGGAAAAGCCUCUAAGCAUCAGGUAACAUCAAAUCGUACCCCAAACCGACACAGGUGGUCAGGUAGAGAAUACCAAGGCGCUUGAGAGAACUCGGGUGAAGGAACUAGGCAAAAUGGUGCCGUAACUUCGGGAGAAGGCACGCUGAUAUGUAGGUGAAGCGACUUGCUCGUGGAGCUGAAAUCAGUCGAAGAUACCAGCUGGCUGCAACUGUUUAUUAAAAACACAGCACUGUGCAAACACGAAAGUGGACGUAUACGGUGUGACGCCUGCCCGGUGCCGGAAGGUUAAUUGAUGGGGUUAGCGGUAACGCGAAGCUCUUGAUCGAAGCCCCGGUAAACGGCGGCCGUAACUAUAACGGUCCUAAGGUAGCGAAAUUCCUUGUCGGGUAAGUUCCGACCUGCACGAAUGGCGUAAUGAUGGCCAGGCUGUCUCCACCCGAGACUCAGUGAAAUUGAACUCGCUGUGAAGAUGCAGUGUACCCGCGGCAAGACGGAAAGACCCCGUGAACCUUUACUAUAGCUUGACACUGAACAUUGAGCCUUGAUGUGUAGGAUAGGUGGGAGGCUUUGAAGUGUGGACGCCAGUCUGCAUGGAGCCGACCUUGAAAUACCACCCUUUAAUGUUUGAUGUUCUAACGUUGGCCCGUAAUCCGGGUUGCGGACAGUGUCUGGUGGGUAGUUUGACUGGGGCGGUCUCCUCCUAAAGAGUAACGGAGGAGCACGAAGGUUGGCUAAUCCUGGUCGGACAUCAGGAGGUUAGUGCAAUGGCAUAAGCCAGCUUGACUGCGAGCGUGACGGCGCGAGCAGGUGCGAAAGCAGGUCAUAGUGAUCCGGUGGUUCUGAAUGGAAGGGCCAUCGCUCAACGGAUAAAAGGUACUCCGGGGAUAACAGGCUGAUACCGCCCAAGAGUUCAUAUCGACGGCGGUGUUUGGCACCUCGAUGUCGGCUCAUCACAUCCUGGGGCUGAAGUAGGUCCCAAGGGUAUGGCUGUUCGCCAUUUAAAGUGGUACGCGAGCUGGGUUUAGAACGUCGUGAGACAGUUCGGUCCCUAUCUGCCGUGGGCGCUGGAGAACUGAGGGGGGCUGCUCCUAGUACGAGAGGACCGGAGUGGACGCAUCACUGGUGUUCGGGUUGUCAUGCCAAUGGCACUGCCCGGUAGCUAAAUGCGGAAGAGAUAAGUGCUGAAAGCAUCUAAGCACGAAACUUGCCCCGAGAUGAGUUCUC
rnacentral:rRNA from 1 species